rnacentral:misc_RNA from 1 species
GAUGAAGAACGUAGCGAAAUGCGAUAAGUAAUGUGAAUUGCAGAAUUCAGUGAAUCAUCGAAUCUUUGAACGCACAUUGCGCCCCCCAGUAUUCUGGCGGGCAUGCCUGUCCGAGCGUCAUUUCAACCCUCAGGGCCCGCCUGCUUCGGCAGGCGCGGCGCUGGUGUUGGGGAUCGGCCUAACCGCCGUCCCCCAAAUACAGUGGCGGUCUCGCUGCAGCCUCCCCUGCGUAGUAGCAACACUCGCAUGCGGAGCGCGGCGCGGCCACGCCGUAAAACCCCCGACUUUCUGAACGUUGACCUCGGAUCAGGUAGGAAUACCCGCUGAACUUAAGCAUAUCAAUAAGCGGAGGA